AGAUGUUAAAAGCAAGAGACAUGGGAGAGCAUCAUUCCUUUGAGAUUUUAUAAAUCAAACCAAGUUUGGAGUUGUCGUGUCUGAUUUGGAGAGUCAUCAUUCUUGGUCUUCGCUCUUAGAGGCCACUGAUGAAGAGCAGGCGGUGACUGGGAUGAAUCCUGGUCAGAGAGGAGAAUCUUCUUUCCCCUAAACUGAUGCAGCGGUGGUUUUAAAGGAGGACGCUGCCCUGGAUGAUGUAGAAGAUGUCAGAUGCUGUGCUGAUGGGGCUUCUUCAUGACUACAUCAGUUAUGCUAAAGAGAUCAUGAAAAUUGACCGUGAUGCAUGAUCUGUAUUCAUGGACUAUGAAACAAACUGUAAGUGUAUAAUUUGUAAAAAAAAAAAAAAAAUUAAAUGCUUUUUCUGUGUUGUUUAGUAGAAGAGUUUACACUCUGUCAUUCAUACACCUGCUCACAUUCUUUCACACACACACACACACACGCGUCUGUUAAAUGUUAUAAUAUCAAAGUUAAUGUUGUGAUUUAUUUGUGUACUGUCAUGCCAGAAUAGUUGGAAAAAAACCUAAUUCAGUUAUAUUCAUCAAAUGUUCAAUGCUUUGUUUAUGAACUCUGUAGCUGUUAAUGCCAUCCUUUUCUGCAUUUCUUCUAACAUGUUACUUUUUGACUCUUCUCUUGUUUUUAAUAAAUAUUUUCCUUUUGGUAAUUAUUAUUUGUGUGUAAAAGUGAUAUUUAAAAUGAACAACAUUUGUAGGUUUAAUGCCUAGCUCAAUUUGGGUUAAUUUUAACGUAGAAAUGCAUUGUUUCCCCACAUGGCUGCACUCUGCGAGUUUAUUUUCUGCCAGCAGGAGGCGCUAAGAGCGGGAGAGGUAGGUUUCUCCGGUAACGGCUGCAGAGCGGUGCUGAGCUCACAAACGCUGCCUUAUCAAGCAUAUGCGAAAUGAUAUCGAACAUUUUCUAAAUACAGUAGUUUUCCUUCUGAAAUACAGUGAUAAAAAACACCCGCUCUGGUUUUUGAAACCCUGCAAUAUAGUCAUUUUAAACCAUAAAAAAUGGCAACCCAGCAGGCUGGGUUAAAUGUGAUAACCCAACUGGUUGGGUUAAAAUAACCCAGCGCUGGGUUCGUCCCUUUUUGACCCAG